rnacentral:rRNA from 1 species
AUACGGAGGGUGCAAGCGUUGUUCGGAAUUACUGGGCGUAAAGCGCGCGUAGGCGGUUUGUUAAGUCAGAUGUGAAAGCCCCGGGCUUAACCUGGGACGUGCAUUUGAAACUGUCAGACUUGAGUAUUGGAGGGGGUGGUGGAAUUCCCGGUGUAGAGGUGAAAUUCGUAGAUAUCGGGAGGAAUACCGGUGGCGAAGGCGACCACCUGGCCAAAUACUGACGCUGAGGUGCGAAGGCGUGGGGAGC